rnacentral:rRNA from 1 species
CGGGGUGAGUAACGCGUGGAUAACCUGCCUCACACUGGGGGAUAACAGUUAGAAAUGACUGCUAAUACCGCAUAAGCGCACAGUACCGCAUGGUACAGUGUGAAAAACUCCGGUGGUGUGAGAUGGAUCCGCGUCUGAUUAGCCAGUUGGCGGGGUAACGGCCCACCAAAGCGGCGAUCAGUAGCCGACCUGAGAGGGUGACCGGCCACAUUGGGACUGAGACACGGCCCAA